rnacentral:tRNA from 1 species
GCGAGAGUGGUGAAAUUGGUAUACACGCUAGAUUUAGGUUCUAGUGCCGCAAGGCGUGAGAGUUCGAGUCUCUCCUUUCGCACCA